AUCCUUAAAAUAAAAAAAAUAAAAACUCCUUUUUAAUCCUAUAAAAUAUUUCCUAUUUUUGCUGACUUAUGGUUCUCCAUGUCAGUUUUGCUUAAUUCUUUAACUCCUAGUCAGUAGUUUAUAUUUAAACUCUCAAUCCUUAAAAUAUCAACACCUUUUUAAUCCUUUAUUUCCUAUUUUUGCUGACUUAUUUAAAAUCUGUCAGUUUUUGCUAAUCUCCUUAACUCCUAAACAGUAUUUAUACAACUGAACUUUUAAGCCUUAAAAUAACAACACCUUUUUAAUCCUAUAUUUCCUAUUUUUGCUGACUUAUUCACUAUCUGUCAGUUUUGCUUACUUCCUUGCAAAUAUAAUCCUACUUGCCUAAAAUUUCAACUUUCUCAAACAAGAGUAGUGAACCCUGGCAAAAAAGCUUGACGAAAUCGUUAGACGAGAAGCCAUCAGGACCUGAACGCUGGAGACAAAAGGUUCUGCAUCACUGCGGAUCUCAGAUCUGCAACUUACUACACAGAUAGUUACGUUAGACGAGAAACCACCAGGACCUGAACGCCAAAGGAUCUGGGAGAACCAAGAGGAUCUGGGAGACCUCACAGCCGUAAUCUUCGGUGAAGAAUAACGGUAAAAAAUUAUAAUUCCAAAGGUCCCUGUGAAUACUGGAUCCUGUUCAUCAUUAAUAAGUCCUAAACCCUUUAUCAUACAGAGAGCAGGGGUGUGCACACGGACCAUUUUUGACUGUAAAUGCUGAAACUUUUGAACUGAAAUUGACGUAAAAGUGCUCAAUAGAAUUCUAAGAUCUUAAAUUAUGUAAACUCACUCCAGGUUUGGACCUACAAUGUUAAUUUUUUUUUAAAAAAGGUUAAUUUCAUAACUCCAAAAAAAAAUUAUUUUUUUCUAAACGUUAACUGCAGAAUUAGAACGUCAUCAACAUGCUUAAUUAAAACCCCGACGGACUCGAAUUUUUUUUUCCUGUCGUCAUGGUUCUCUCUUUAUCUAGUUAAACUGAAACCUGGAGGACUAAUGAGCGGUGAACCUCAGAGAACCUAGCGGAUCCUACAGCUUCUUCUCUCAGCACAUAAUAACGUUUGUGGAAACUGUAACGCCUCCUGAACCGUCAAAUCUCACCGCCACGAAAUCAUGAUGUCUCAAGAAGAGGAGAUAAUUAAGCUACAUCGAUAUCUCAAAAUCCUUGCACAAAAUAAACGUGCACCAUACCCUGCUAUACCUUGAUGAUUUGAGAGAAAUGAAGAGGUUAAGCACUAAUCUCUAUUCAAUAUCCUAGACAGUAGCGCAGAACCAAUGUUCUACGUGUGUCUGGUUUUUUAAGCAGAAUGUGUUUUUUUUCAAAUUGAAACUAAAUGCUUCUACAACAAGCUUUUUCACAUUUAACACUUCUUGAUUUUGUUUUCCAUAAUUACGUCGGCUAAUUAGCAUCAAGACGACAUAGUUUAACUAAUGGAAUGCCAUACUAACGUUGAACUUUCAAUGUUCUUCGUCAGUACAAUUGUAGUUUCUUGCAUAUUGCAUACAUUGCCAAUUCACCAUUGUUACAUAAAAACCUUAGAAUGCUUGCUCAAUCUGAUUUUCCACAUUAAAUGCUCAAUUAUAUGCAGACAAUUUUUAAAUCUUCUUCAUCGACUAACUUUAUGCAAUUUAUUCUAUGCAGUUUCAUUUUUGCACUAUUCAAUUUGUAUGUUUUGCAGGAUCCAAGUAUCCCUAAAUCAGAAUUCCUAAUGAAAGGAAAAAACGAUAAAAUUCAUCCGUACGAUUUUUUAUUAUUUAAUUUGAGAAUAUAUGUACACAAUAGCAUCGUUAAAUAGUUGUAUUAAAUAUAUGU